ensembl:rRNA 5S_rRNA 5S ribosomal RNA
GCUUACGGCCACACCGGCCUGAGUACGCUGAUCUCGUCCGAUCUCGGAAGCUAAGCAGGGUCGGGCCUGGUUAGUACUUGGAUGGGAGACCGCCUGGGAAUACCAGGUGCUGUAAGCU